UCACAGCGAGAAGUAGGAAUAUUAGCUACAAGAUAGCACAAGCAACACUGACGACUGCCAUGGGGCUCGAAACAGACAACAGCUUCCCGUGGCCUGCCUAACACAGCCCGGGAAAGCACAAAAAUCCAAGUUGGCCCUUUAAAAACUAAAGCCAGCCCCACAGUACAUGUGCAAGUAGCCGGCUUUUAUUGUUGACACCACCGGGGAGGAGGUGUUAGCUAACGUUAGCUACGCCGCCCAAAACAACAACAAGCAGCCACUUUAGCUCGCAGGUUCAAGGCUCAAAUGAAGCCACCAGAAGGCCGACACGCACUUCCAGGCGAGGUGAUAAAAGUCCUCCGUGUGCCUCUUUAAACCAGACCCACGCCAUUCGAACCGCCGAGCCAAAAUCGCUGACCCGGGCUGCUCCGCGAUGCGGGACAGCCGUCAAGCUCAGCCGAGGGUACACAAACUUUGAAAAGAACAUUUUUUUUUAAAUAAAGUCAAACUUAAGUGUGCAUAAUGUUUACCUGUAUGGCCUCCCCUCCCGAGGGGGAAAUGGCCGGGUCGGAACUCGUUAAUACAAGCGACCGGCCCACCGCCAGAGCUUGCCGCCGACGAUGAAACGUUAUAAUCCUCGCCUCAUUUCGCCACUUGUGCCGGGCAGCGGGACAAGCUUGAGAACGCAUAAAAAGACAUAUUUCGUGUGCGAGAGUGACUCCCUGCCCUCCCCGGGGCUCAACCUUCGGCUCUGCGGAGAAGUAUUACUUUUCAACAGCCCAUCAACGUCUUUAUCGUCACAGAUAGGUGGAGGAAGACCUGGCUCCUCUCGACGAGACGGAAUAAAAGGCUCCCCCCUCGGUCCACUCGCCGAAAACUUCGGCUCCAACCCCCCCUCCCAACCUUCAGUCAACUUACUCGGUCGCUUUGUAGUCCACUCGUCGCCGAUGGUCGACCAAGGAAUGUUUACUGUGCGGUUAAACUGGAUAAAUCGUUGCUUUUUUUGAAAAUCCAGGGGAUAUCCUCCUUUUUCAGCCCUCCCCGCUGCCGCGUCUGUUGCCAAAUAAUGCGCCUCAACACACAUGGAGCCGCUGCGUCCUCAUAGUGGGCAUGCGCACCUCGGCAUACCAGGGCGACCGGAUCACAUCAUGGACUGUAAGCCGUUGACCACCAAGGGCCAAGAUGCGAAGAGCAUCCCAACAUACCGCACAAGGAGUCACCCAAGUGUGAAGCUGGGGGCCGCCACUCUCUAACAGGCAGCACGCUGGAAGAGAAGUGAGUGCUACAAAUUGCUGCACCUCCAGUCACCAGUCGGUAACGCUGCAGAAGUUUGCGGAUGACACUACCCUCAUUGGGCUCAUCUCAGAUGGCGAAGAGUCCGACUACAGGAGAGAGGUGGACCGGCUGGCGUCCUGGUGCAGCCUCAACAACCUGGAGCUGAACGCCCAGAAAACAGUGGAGAUGAUCAUGGACUUCAGGAAAGUCACAGCCCCACCAUCCCCCCUCACUCUGAUUGACUCUCCCACUCCCGUCUCCAUUGUGGACUCCUUCCGUUUCUUGGGCACCACCAUCGCCCAAGACCUCAAGUGGGAGCCGACCAUCAGCUCCCUCAUCAAGAAGGCCCAGCAGAGGAUGUGCUUUUUGCGGCAGCUAAGGAAACUGAAGGUGCCGACCAAGAUGCUGGUGCAGUUUUAUUCUGCCAUCAUCGAGUCCAUCCUCACUUCCUCCAUCACUGUAUGGUUCCCCGGCGCCACAGUCCAGCAUAACAUCGACUGCAGCGCAUCGUACGGGCUGCUGAGAAGGUGAUUGGCUGCAAGCUCCCAUCCCUCCAAGACCUGUUCUCCUCCAGGACCAGGAGGCUUGUGGGUCGGAUCACAGCUGACUCUUUUCACCCUGGACACAAACUAUUCUCAGCUCUCCCCUCAGGCAGGAGACUACGGUCAAUCCAGACUCACACCUCCCGCCACCUGAACAGUUUUUUCCCCUCGGCCAUCAGACACAUUAACUAUAACAAGAUCUGAUAGCUCAGUUACAGCUCAUUUUAACACAUAUUCUGUCUUAUAUGUCUUCUAUGUUGCACAAUUGCACCAAGAAAAAUUCCUAGUUUGUGCACCCGUUCUCAAACAAUGGCAAUAAAAACUAUUCUAAUUCUGA